rnacentral:ncRNA from 1 species
GAACUUAUUGAGGUAAGACAGAUUAAUGGCUCUUUCUCAAUAUUAAGGGUAGUGGUGCAUGGCCAUUCUUAGUUCGCGGAAUGAUUUGUCUGGUUAAUUCCGAUAACGAACGUGACUCAAUCUAAUUAUUACCUCGUUAUGGAUGAUGAGACGAAUGUAAAAGCAGACUUCCGGCAGCUUCCGGGGCUCCAGUUUUUCACUGCUCAUCAUAAAUUCGAUGUCCCUGAGGACGUUAGAAAGCAGAAAAUAUCAAAGUUUGCCAACAAAUAUAUGAUUUGGCAAGCAUUUAGCUAGUGUGGAAAGCGGAGCACCCCAUUCGUGACAACUGGAACGGUCAACGGGCAGGUGUGCCUAAAGAA